ACAUAUAGUGGAACGAAAUGUCGUGUCUCGCAGGACCACGGUGCUACAUACUAGUUAGACAUGAGAUACACAUACAGCAAUGCAAAUAUGGGGGAAAAAAACAAAAAACACAAUAGGGCUAUACAACAGUUUAACCAUCUGACUAUACAUAUACUAUAAAUACUACUAUACCUAGUUGACUACACAUACACAAACUGAGACUGUACAAGAACUUUACAUAAAUACUGUACAUGAAAUAGUGCUAAAGAGAUAUUUGUACAUGAAAUUGUGCAGGAAAUAUAUAUUUUUUUACAUUAAAUUGUUCAGAAGAGAGAUUUUGUGGGAAGCAGCGCAUAGUGCAAAAGACUUAGUAGUGCAAUGCUCCAGUAAACAUUAUUUUAUAGUGCAAUAUUCAAGUAAACAUAUAUUAUCUUAUUGAGUCUUUGUUGCACUUAAGUUGUAACUUAAGAUCGGACAAAAUACAAGGGGAGAACUGAGGACUUAUAUAUGAAUGGGAACAAAAGAGCAAACAACAUAAUUCAAAUCAGGUGGGGACAAUGAAUGCUAAUUAACAAAUGAGAAACGGAACCAAACCACAUAAGGAAAACAGGAACUCAGAAAGGCCGACACGUGACACAUACUUAUUUAAACAAAAUACCUUCAAAUGUGAGGUGUCACCCAGGGAUUUCAGGGAAUAUCCGUUUACAAAGUUUUUCACCAUUGACAUUUUUGACCAUUGUUUCUAUCUACCUAUUUUGCAUAUGAAUUCAAAAAAAUGUGCAUAAGAAACUUGCGCAUUUAUUCAUGCAAUAGUCGGAUCAUUUUUUAUACUGUUUGAAGACAUAAAUAAACUACAAUGGAAACACAUUAACUGAAUAAAUUCCUUGAUGCACAUUGAAAACUGAUGUGACUUUGCCUCAACAGAUCAUGUGAUUGGAUAACUGAACUAACAAGUGUAUACCAUCCCAAAUGCAAUAAUUUUGAAAUGACUGAGCCAAAGUCUGUCAUCAAAAUGAUUUGGUAUAAUCAUUUUAUAACAACGAUUGCAUUCCCAAACAUCAGACAUCUGAAUGCAAAAUAACAUGACAGCAUUUGUUAUUGUAUUUCAUUUGCAUGCUCUGAGGCACAAGUCAUUUUAUUGUGUAGGGGGAAAAAAGAGCCACAGUCUUCCCUAGUUGCAGUAAUUUUUAAUUUUAUUAUUGAUAUUAUGUGCCAGUUUCCCAGGAAGUGACGAUUUUGUUCUCUUGAACACAUGGGAUGCUUUAUUCGCAAAUGUUUUUUGGUAACACUUUAUAAUAACUGCACGCUAUGAAUCAUUAGGUAAGCAUUAGUAAAUAGUCAGUUCAUCCUUUAUAAAGCAUUGUCCCAACAUUAAUAGUCAUUAGUAAGCAGUUUAUAAAUACAGCUGUAAAUGCCUUGUUCUUGAUUUAUAAGCAUAUAUAUUACAAAGGAGAUAUAAAGGCUCAGUGAUCUUCCUAACAGAAAAAAUAAAUAAACAAACACAACACAGAGGGAUACAGAACUCAGAAAUAUUUAUUUCAAGAUGCAAAAAAAUUAAACUGUACACUUGAAUUUUUAUUUUAUUUCUUCUAUGAAAUUGUAGAGGUUUAUUUUCCAUUUUUUAUCAAGUGUACAUUUGUACAGUUUCAUCUUUUUAAUCUUGAAAAAAUAUUUCUGUGUUCUGUAUCUGUUACGGAAUGAGACUCACACAGAAGAUUAGAAUAAGGCAGAUGGCAUUUAUUAACAGCAACAGAGAUAAAUGGGUCAAUGGCAGGUAAGUGGAAUGUUCAUGCAGAGGUUUCACAGUACUGGUGAGGAAGGUAAUCAGAGUUUUUUUCCUUACAGGAGAUCGUGGCAUUAACGGAGGAGGAAUGGAUGACAGCACACACUUCAAUGGAGCAAUCCAGGGCGACACAACGGAGACUUGGGAGUAGACACACACUAGAGAGGAGCACAGGAGGUUCCAGGUGUGAGUGGACAUCGCAUGGGAUUUCACAUCAGCUGUUGAAUGCCAGCUUGACCCAUCUUUCUCAUUUGAGUGACCCUGUCUACAUGCACCGCACUGUACCUGAACAUCUGUGUGAGGUGGCCUGGGACAUCUGUAUGAUGGGCUGACAUCUGUGUUUCUAGCAAGAGCCAGAGAAAGUGAGAGAGUGAAAGUAGGCCUGUUCUCAUCCAGUGGCAGCGCACCUGCACGGCAGGACAGUGCGAGGAGCAGGUGCAUGGCAGGUGGCCCCACACCUGUCCACACUAAGCACACUGUAGCUUGUUAGUCUGGGCAGCAGGCAGAGAUGAGGUCUUCCAGUUUGAGGUGGAUGAAGGUGGUGUUCCUGAGCAGUGGCUGUCUGUCUGUUAAAAGGAGUCCCCUGCUUCGCUCUGCAGUGACCCCGACUGUAAUGAUGCAUCUGUGAAGACACACACACACACACACACACACACACAUACAUAGCCAGCAACACAAGGAAAUUACCCUACGGCAUGCAGCCAACACAUCCAUUGGAAGGUAAUCCAGUCCAGUGGUAUAUUUACAUCAGUGAGACAUUCCAAUUAUGUUCUCUUUAGGAAUUCUAGUUUUUCCAAGGCUGUGUUCUGCUUAGCUUUGUCCACCUUGUGCCUAGUGAGUCCCCACAGUUCUGGUGAUGAAGCACUCCUGGACAACAAGUCUUCAAUAGAAGUAGGCUGGUAUUGUGUUGAGGCACUCUGCCAUGCAUCUUGUUAUAAUAGAGCUGAGAGUGCAUCCUGCAAAAGCAAAUGUCAAUGCCACUCCCUAGGGCUGUGCACAAUAGCCUCCUGUUUUUCUCUACCAUGAUGCCUCAGCGACAACUGGCAUACACAAAGCCACAUGUAACUCCGCAUGCUGUUAUUGUCGGGGUUUCCAUGGCAACAUCCGAAAGGGACAUUGAAUGAAAUCCCAUUUAGUCGUGUAACUCUCACCUGUGGGGUUGGGGACAGUGGUGAAUUGUGGAAUGGGUAGAAGUGUGGAAGUGUAAUCAAAGGAUGUUUUUUUGCACCCGAGGUUGUCCAGCGUUGAGUGCAGAGCCCAUCUGAUGCUCUUUAACCUAGGUUUGGUCUAUGAAGGCUGGAUUAGUGUGUUUACAUUUGACCGUAUGUGACAAAAGUAGUUGGGAUGAAAUAUUUAUCAAGGAACGAAUCACACCGUUGGGCCUGAGAGAGUCAUGGUCAGUGACACUUCACUUCAAACAUGUGUGUAUGUGUUCAGUCAUCACAGGUUUUCCCCUCACAGAUUCUCAUUGACCCAAAAGCCCAUUCAACCCUCUGAGGUCAUGCCUUGGGUCAGAAAGGGUGUUAAGUAUAGAUGAGAUGAGGCGCGCAACAUCGAGUACAGACCCAUCUUCACAAAUGGAAACUUAAACUUCAAA